UACGGGGGGGGCAAGCGUUGUUCGGAAUUACUGGGCGUAAAGGGCUCGUAGGCGGCCAACUAAGUCAGACGUGAAAUCCCUCGGCUUAACCGGGGAGCUGCGUCUGAUACUGGAUGGCUUGAGUUUGGGAGAGGGAUGCGGAAUUCCAGGUGUAGCGGUGAAAUGCGUAGAUAUCUGGAGGAACACCGGUGGCGAAGGCGGCAUCCUGGACCAAUAUUGACGCUGAGGAGCGAAAGCCAGGGGAGCAAACGGG
rnacentral:rRNA from 1 species